AGUGAACGCUGGCGGUAGGCCUAACACAUGCAAGUCGAACGGCAGCACAGUAAGAGCUUGCUCUUACGGGUGGCGAGUGGCGGACGGGUGAGGAAUACAUCGGAAUCUACUUUUUCGUGGGGGAUAACGUAGGGAAACUUACGCUAAUACCGCAUACGACCUACGGGUGAAAGCAGGGGAUCUUCGGACCUUGCGCGAUUGAAUGAGCCGAUGUCGGAUUAGCUAGUUGGCGGGGUAAAGGCCCACCAAGGCGACGAUCCGUAGCUGGUCUGAGAGGAUGAUCAGCCACACUGGAACUGAGACACGGUCCAGACUCCUACGGGAGGCAGCAGUGGGGAAUAUUGGACAAUGGGCGCAAGCCUGAUCCGGCCAUACCGCGUGGGUGAAGAAGGCCUUCGGGUUGUAAAGCCCUUUUGUUGGGAAAGAAAAGCAGCAGGUUAAUACCCCGCUGUUCCGACGGUACCCAAAGAAUAAGCACCGGCUAACUUCGUG
rnacentral:rRNA from 1 species